rnacentral:rRNA from 1 species
CGAAGCGCUUAAAUGGAUUUCUUCGGAUUGAAGUUUUUGUGACUGAGUGGCGGACGGGUGAGUAACGCGUGGGUAACCUGCCUCAUACAGGGGGAUAACAGUUAGAAAUGACUGCUAAUACCGCAUAAGCGCACAGUGCUGCAUGGCACAGUGUGAAAAACUCCGGUGGUAUGAGAUGGACCCGCGUCUGAUUAGCUAGUUGGUGGGGUAACGGCCUACCAAGGCGACGAUCAGUAGCCGGCCUGAGAGGGUGAACGGCCACAUUGGGACUGAGACACGGCCCAAACUCCUACGGGAGGCAGCAGUGGGGAAUAUUGCACAGUGGGGGAAACCCUGAUGCAGCGACGCCGCGUGAGCGAAGAAGUAUUUCGGUAUGUAAAGCUCUAUCAGCAGGGAAGAAAAUGACGGUACCUGACUAAGAAGCACCGGCUAAAUACGUGCCAGCAGCCGCGGUAAUACGUAUGGUGCAAGCGUUAUCCGGAUUUACUGGGUGUAAAGGGAGCGUAGACGGUUGUGUAAGUCUGAUGUGAAAGCCCGGGGCUCAACCCCGGGACUGCAUUGGAAACUAUGUAACUAGAGUGUCGGAGAGGUAAGCGGAAUUCCUAGUGUAGCGGUGAAAUGCGUAGAUAUUAGGAGGAACACCAGUGGCGAAGGCGGCUUACUGG